rfam:Myotis lucifugus cont2.22456, whole genome shotgun sequence.
AGGCCUGGAGAGAGGCAGGGUCAGAUCCGUAGCCUCCAUGGCAGCUGUUGAUCAGCUGUUGCCUCUCUCUUUUUCUCCU